UAAUAAGUGUUUUAGUGGCACUUUUUAAAUCCAUAUCCACCUUGUGUGCAAUGUCAGUCGAUCUUCUUCAUGGAGAUCGACCAAACAUCAACCUUUAUUUUUUAACUCUUUGUCUGAAAAAUAUUAUGAAUAAACAAUUCAAAAUA
rnacentral:misc_RNA from 1 species